UACGAAGGGGGCUAGCGUUGUUCGGAAUUACUGGGCGUAAAGGGUGCGUAGGCGGGUCUUUAAGUCAGGGGUGAAAUCCUGGAGCUCAACUCCGGAACUGCCAUUGAAACUGUGAGACUUGAGUAUGAGAGAGGUGAGUGGAAUUCCCAGUGUAGAGGUGAAAUUCGUAGAUAUUGGGAAGAACACCGGUGGCGAAGGCGGCUCACUGGCUCAUUACUGACGCUCAGGCGCGACAGCGUGGGGAUCAAACAGG
rnacentral:rRNA from 1 species